AUGCAAAGAACUUUGAAAAGAGAGUCAAACAGGGCUUGAAACCGUUAAGAGUGAAGCGAAGGAGGCCAGUGAUCAUGGGACCAGAUCUCCAAGCGCCUGUUUUUUUAUAGGGCGCCGUAGCGUUCUGGUUUUUUCCCGGGGCAGCGCCGGCUGGGGGCGGGUGUUAAAAAGGAGAUGGUUGAGGGAUUUAUUUCCCGCCAGUUUACUCCCUUCUAGCCUGCACCCUGGCCGAGGGAUCCGCGACUACUUGUCGUGUGAGGGCGCUGUCAAAAUGGCCUUCUCCACCCCGUCUUGAAACACGGACCAAGGAGUCUAACAUACCCGCGAGUGUUUGGGUGGUUAAAACCCGAACGCACAAUGAAAGUAAACGGUGGCUCUGCGCCGCUGCUUGGUGGGAACCCUACCUUUUUAAUGGGGGGCACCAUCUCCCGACCCCGAUCCCUUUGGGGUGGUUGGUUUUGAGGCAGAGCGAGUAUGAUGGGACCCGAAAGAUGGUGAACUAUUCCUGAGUAGGGCGAAGCCAGAGGAAACUCUGGUGGAGGCUCGUAGCGAUGCUGACGUGCAAAUCGCUCGUCGAACUUGGGUAUAGGGGCGAAAGACUAAUCGAACCAUCUAGUAGCUGGUUCCCUCCGAAGUUUCCCUCAGGAUAGCGGGAGCAAAUGCAAGUCAGUAUCAUCC
rnacentral:rRNA from 1 species